rnacentral:rRNA from 1 species
CCUACGGGUGGCAGCAGUGAGGAAUAUUGGUCAAUGGUCGGGAGACUGAACCAGCCAAGCCGCGUGAGGGAGGAAGGUACAGAGUAUCGUAAACUUCUUUUGUCAGGGAAUAAAGACUGGGACGUGUCCCUGGUUGAGUGUACUUGAUGAAUAAGCAUCGGCUAACUCCGUGCCAGCAGCCGCGGUAAUACGGAGGAUGCGAGCGUUCUCCGGAUUUAUUGGGUUUAAAGGGUGCGCAGGGGGGUUGUUAAGUCAGCGGUCAAAGCCCGGGGCUCAACCGGGGCCUUGCGUUUGAUACUGGCGGCCUCGAGUGGAGGAGAGGUAUGCGGAAUGUGUGGUGUAGAGGUGAAAUGCGUAGAUAUCACGCAGAACUCCGAUUGCGAAGGCAGCAUACCGGCGCGCGACUGACGCUGAGGCUCGAAAGCGUGGGUAUCGAACAGGAUUAGAUACCCGUGUAGUC